GCCUUGCUAGCUCAAUCGGUAGAGCGUGUGACUUUUACAGUGAUGGGUUCACUGCAGUUACGUAAUCACAAGGUUGCGGGUUCGAUCCCCGCGUGAGGAU